rnacentral:pre_miRNA from 1 species
UAAUAUAUUCAUGACAGAUCUUUAUUUAGUUAUAAUAAAUUUACAUCUAACUACUCAAAAUUAUUUGUUAUUACAAGCUUGAUUAUAUAUAUAUAUAUAUUUGAAAAUUAGAUGCGGAUAAAAUUGUAACGAUGCAAGCUUUUAU